UUUUAUCAUUUCUGGAAUGUCUGACGAGUGAAGAUUGGAAUUUACGGUUAGAUAAGUUCACCACAGGGAGUUCGACAAUGAGGGCGGUAGCUUUGUUCACAAAUAACCUAAGGGACAGUACAGUCUGCCUGGAGCCACCGGACUACACAACAGGGAGCUCGACAAUGUGGGCGGUAGCUUUGAUCACAAAUAAUCUAAGGGACUGCCCGAGAUACCUACUUCAAAAAGCUGACCCCCUGAAGUGAAUAUGAAGUACACACCGCCAAAAGAGUCUUCAUACAGCGCCAACAGCGAAGCCUCAGGUUAUCAUCAGAUGUGUUACCAUAGAUGUUCGACAGCCGAACCAAUUAGAACAAAUUCAGUUUUUACUGAUCGUGGUAAGUGGUAUUAUUUUUUGCAUUAUUAGUUUUUUUAUUGAUUUAGCUUGAAUAGGAUGAUAUUCGCUAUUAGUGAAAUAAUGAUUGUGAUUGGUCCGCAUUAACUUUCCAUUAAGUUGGUAAACUUACAAAGUCCUCUAUUUGUACAAUCUUCUUUUAAUAUGAAAGAUUUACUCUAAAAAUCAUUAACGUCUCACGUAGGACAACCCACGCUCUAGCCUGCGUAGCAAGCGUUUCUGUGGAGUUUCAGCAGGAAAAGAGAGUGCGCGGGGAAUAUGGCCGCGCGAAAAAUUGGGCGAGCGCAAAAAAAGAAAAGGGGGAAGGGGAAGAAGAAAAACUUCCUUCUCUCUCUCCCCAUAUUUUGCGCGACCACAAUCCUCGCUCGAAACUCCACAGAAACGCUUGCUACGCAGGCUACCCACGCUCUAGUAGCCCGAGGAGCAAACACCGCGCCCACGCUACUUGAAUGACCAUUCCUAUCACCUUACAUUCAGUAGCUUUCGAUUACAAGUUAAAUAUUUGUUUCUCUAGAGUUACCUUUUCAUCUCUCCUACAUACUCCUUUAGUUUAAUGGCAAAGGACAUUCGUUUUGUAUCCUUAAACUCUUUUUCAAAGCUUUCCUUUGUCCUCGCUAAUUUUGCCGAUAGUUAAUUUUAUCUGAGGUAAUGGGUUACAGUGGGUAAUGGGUUGUCAGUGCUUGUCAACAUACUUCCUAUUUUACCAUAAAAAAACCACCUUGCAAAUCUUUCACAUUAUUCUCGACGGAACCCACUGUCAUCAGAAGCCACCCUGAAUGUUAUUACAGUAGUAAGCAAAUAUACAA